AUAUGUGAGUGAUCAGUCAUGUGAUUGAUUAAUAACUGUGUCUGUGUUGUUGAUACAGCUACCAGGAGAACGGAGCGACCUGCAGUUCCUCCUUCAGGAUCAGGUCUACCUCACGAUCUCCACCACUCCCGCUCCUCCUCCACAGAAACGAUCAUCCUUCUCUUCAUCCUCCUCAUCGUCAGCCUCCUCUGAGUCCAGCCAGAGUUCAGAGGGUCCUCAACAACUGAGAGAACGACAGAACCUGGAGAACACGGCUGUGGAGCAGGUGGAUUCCUCUCAGGAGGCGAGUCCUCUUUUCAAAUUAAAGUUUAUUUAAAUUAAUUAACGCUGAACAUGACCUGACAUGAAACAGUCUGUGUGUGUGUAGAGCACAGAGCGCCUCCAGCCUCCCAGUAACACCAGCAGUCUGUGGCUCAAUGAACUGGUCCUACUGGGAGAGAGAGUUUCUAAUAGAGAUGGAGACGGCAGAAACGAAGAUGGAGGAGACGACAGCGUGGAGAGCAGACACAGGGCUCUGAUGCUGACCUAUCACCACCUCCUGAGUCGACUUCGUCACAGAGACCCUGGUCUGAUUACUGGAGUGGGCGGAGCAGCGGGAGAUGUGGGCGGAGCCAGAGAAGAACACCUGGAUGGGGAGUUUCCACACCUGUCAGACGACAGCAUGGAGGGAGGAAACCGGCUGACCUUUGACCUGCCAGGUCUCAGUUCCCAUGGCGACGAGGCGGCGCUGGAGCUGGGGCUGUAACGAGGCCAUGCCCAAUAUACUGUGUGAUUUCUAAGUAAUGAUCUUUUGAUUAAAUAGAAUCCUGCAGCUGGAGUUUAACACCAAGUGUUCCAACAUUUCACAGCUAGAAACUAGAAAAGUCAACAACCCUGCAUGGAAACUGAUUUACAAGCCCAACAGCACCCCCUACUGAAGAGGAUGAUCAAUAAAGUGACUGACAUACAGUUUAACAGUUCAUACCACCUUAAAUAUUACCUACAGUUUAAAGGCUAAUUCCACCUUAAAUACUAUGUACAGUUUAAAGGUUAAUUCCACCUUAAAUAUGUGCAGUUUAAAGGUUAAUUCCACCUUAAAUACUAUAUAGUGUUGAAAAAUUGAUUUCACCUUAAAUACUACUUACAGAUUAAAGGUUAAUUCCACCUUAAAUACUACGUACAGUUUGAAAGUUGAUUCCACCUUGAAUACUACGUUUGGUUUAAAGGUUAAUUCCACCUUAAAUACGUGCAGUUUAAAGGCUAAUUCCACCUUAACUACUACGUAGUGUUUAAAAAUUGAUUCCACCUUAAAUACUACAUACAGUUUAAAAGUUGAUUCCACCUUAAAUAUGUGCAGUUUAAAGGAUAAUUCUACCUUAAAUACCACAUAGUGUUUAAAAAUUGAUUCCUCCUUAAAUACUACAUACAGUUUUAAAGUUGAUUCCACCUUAAAUAUGUGCAGUUUAAAGGUUAAUUCCACCUUAAAUACUACGUACAGUUUGAAAGUUGAUUCCACCUUGAAUACUACGUUUGGUUUAAAGGUUAAUUCCACCUUAAAUACGUGCAGUUUAAAGGCUAAUUCCACCUUAAAUACUACGUAGUGUUUAAAAUUCAUUCCACCUUAAAUACUAUGUACAGUUUAAAGGUUAAUUCCACCUUAAAUAUGUGCAGUUUAAAGGCCAAUUCUACCUUAAAUACCACAUAGUGUUUAAAAAUUGAUUCCACCUUAAAUACUACUUACAGAUUAAAGGUUAAUUCCCCCUUAAAUACUUACAGUUUAAAGAUUAUUCAGUCUCAGGUUGGUUCCUGGAUAAACUUCUUGAGACCAGCUGCAGCAGAACGGCGCCUCCAUGUGGUCAAACACUGAUUACAGCAUCUGAAGUCUUCUGUGGGAAUAAAAAGUCUGGAGUUCACGAAGAAGUCCGACCCCUAAAACAUCUGGUUCAUGUGUGGAGGAUUUAUCAAAGUUCUGAUUUUAGAUCCCGAUAGAAAGAACCUGUCUGUCUGGAAGCGCCUUCUAUCCACUGAUUCACUGGACAACUUUCAUUAUUAUCUAAAGUCUUCAAACAGCUGCUGGUCAUUUUAAUAUGAAUUUAUCCACUUCUGAAUAUUUAACCACACUUCCAGCACUGAAAUCUUCCUUGUUGUGUGAAUUUCCAGCUGCAGUUUGAAAAUGUAACUGAGUGUUGAUGUGUAUAAAUAUGAAAAUCUCCUCUGUUCUCUUUAAAACUGACCACAUUCACUAAACAAAGCUGUAAAACAAAACUAACGGCUGGACGGGUUCACUCAUCCUGAUGGUAAAUAAUCUGAACACAGCUUUAAUGGAAGGAAAACAGAAAUACAUCAAUAACUCACUUUGGUUAUCUGUCACUGCCUGGUCUUUGAAUAAACUUUAUUUAGAUUUCAUUCACUCUA